AUUUUAAUAGUUUAAGGUAAAAUAUUAAAUUGCAAAUUUAAAGAUAUGUUAUAAUUUAAAAUU
rnacentral:tRNA from 1 species